rnacentral:tRNA from 1 species
GGGCCCGUAGUUCAACUGGUAGAACACUUCAUUUGCAAUGAAGAGGCAGACGGUUCGACACCGUCCGGGUCCACCG